UGCGGCGGAGGAAUGUCAAGCGUGCCCGGCAUAAAAUCUAAGAGGUGCAAACAACAUCGCCUUGGCUCGAAACUGUCGUCUCCUUUUUGUUCGUGCCAAUCCCUCCGCUCCCCGCCUCCACCUCCGACUGGAACAGGAGCUUAUUUUGUAUUCAAGCGAUUGGAAAGCUUUGCAGAAACUGCAUUUUCCAUUUAAAGUGGACGGGAAAUUGAAUUAAACUUACCUGACUCGCUAACUGAUUUUUAAAGAAAGAUUGGCAGAAACCUGUGAUGGUUUAGAAUUUGCACGUAUUGGAGAAGGGGGGGCAGUGUAUGCUUUUAAACUUCUGAACAGUAGCAGUACUUGGAAAUUUCACACGUCAAGAAUUUUUUUACAUUUAGAUCUGGGCAGAAAUUUUUAAAUUCAUUAAAGAAAUCCCAGAAAACAAGCAGAAGAGCUCAUGGAUCCACCUCUUUCAUCUGUCUCCCCUCCUCAAGAGUAUCUGCUUCCUGUUGAGUCUGUGUGUAUUAACAGAUACACAGAAUGCUGGUGAAUCUUAUUAGGUUCUGGGCUAGGGAGAAGACAAGGAAGCAAGAGGCAUCUUUGCUCUUGUCAUGCCACCAGAGGCACCAAAUGUGCUCCACUUUAGGCUCCAGCUGCACCAGUGUAGCACUUGAACAACUUGCAAAUUUUCAUCUGAGGCUGAACUUUUGUCCUGCCAGAUUUGCCCUAAGUUCCCUCCGCUUUCUGAAACCAAGUGGGAAGAUGUGUUAACUCCAGAGAAGAAAUUAGGAUUAAGAUGAGCUGAAAGAUACACCUCUGCUGCACUUCAACACUUGGAAUAAUAGUGGCACAAUGUGGUCUUACACUUCUGAAAAUUAGUGUUACUUCCAGGGGAGUAUUAGGAGUUCCAAGAAUUUGACAGGUUUACCAUUGAAAAGGAAAGGACCCCUUGGUAAUUACUAUGUCCCCAUGCUUCUUUGCUUUCAUAAAUUAUGCAGGACUCAUGGGACAGCUGUCCUAUUGCUAGGCAUUGUCCUCUGCUGGGCUGUAUUGGUGUCCUUCAGGGGAAAUAGAUGCAGGCGCUGUGUGUGGUGUGGUGUGGUUCAAACACUGCAGGAGAUACUGAGUCAGUGUCUGCAGGCUUAGGCAGAUGUCCCAAUCAGUCAUCCUGCAAAUGUUGUGAUCCAUGAGCAGGAGCACUAGAAAUUUCUUCUGGUGUUUCAUGUAAAAUAUAUGUUCUAGUGGUUCCAAAAAUGGAGCUUCUGGGCAAAGACCUGGGCAAAGCCUCUGAAUUCCUCCAGUCAUAGUAAAGGUCCAGUGUCGCAUUACUGUUCCAGCCUAAGACAGCAGAAGUCUGUCUCUAGGAAGAAUAUUUUCCUAACUCAGAAUUGCUUCCCUGUCAGUAAUUUUAAUAUGUGAUUCUGAGAGCUUUGUUACAGACAGCAUCAAAAAAAUUUUGUUCUUGUGCUUUCAGUGGUUCUGAGAAGCAACAGCAGCACAGCCUGAGCAUGGUUUUCACCACAUUCAGGACAACAGUCCAGGCACCAAAGCCAACCAUGUGCACAUUUGGUUGACCAAGUUUGCACCCUGCUCUGAUUUUCAAUUUAUCUCUGCAAGCAUAAAGUCUUUGACUCUUUUAAAACAAAAUUUUGCUUGCUGCAGAUGAAUGGCUGCUUUUGAAGCUCACUAGAAAAGCUGGAGGUCUUUCCUUUCAAAAGAAAACAAGAAAUCACUAGGAUAUGAGGAGUGGAAUAACUGAGGAAGAGAAUGAGCUUUGAGGGGAUAAAUGUAAAAACACACUUCCUUACCAACUCCAGCCUCUAAAUGGUAUUGACCACCAGGGAAAUUGGAUCCACCCUGGACUGAUUGUAGUAUCAGGAAAAUCUUCCACAAACAGCUCUGAGCUAUUGAAAAAGCUGCAGUUUUCUCUUCCAAUAAUUGAUACUGUGGUGACAACUUCCACCUGCUACUCAUGAGUCGCAGUUACCACAUCUGCUAAGGGGGAGAAGGCAACUUCUCCCUUUGCUCAGAAUGUAUUGUCUUGUCUGCAGUGGUGGUCCUAGGAGUGAAAAAUUGCUACUAAGUUUGAGCACUUCUUAGAAGGCGUGGUGUCCCCUACACUAUUUGGAAAUGAAACUUGCAAUCUCUGCUUACUCAGAGUUUAAGAAGCAUAAAUGAAGAGGAACCACUUUAACAGUACCUGGGGAUUGGGCUAAAUUGCAUUAUUGCCUGGGAAUGAGGGUUUAUUCCAUACUGUUCACUAAAUGAAGAGUAUAACCAUGGCAACAUUCAGGACAUGGUCUGUAAGGAUCUGCCAAUGCAAUUCUGAAAUUAGCAUUCAGAAGGCAACUGUUUAAAAGUAGCUUGAGAACUGAAAAAGAAUGUUUCAGACUACGGUCCAUACGGGAAUACACUUCGGUAUCUGCAGCAUGAAAACUAUGUAAAAUUUAGCAGUUCAGUUUAUGCUGAUCUCAGCAGGAGAUCAUUUAUAUAGAUCUUUGAUGAGUGAAAGCAUAAUGGUAUCAAUACUAAUAUCCAGUGGUGAUUCACACCACAUUACAGCUAUAAUUUUGUGUGAAGUAUUCCUAAAAAAUACAAAUACUACUAGCUUUUUAUGAUCAACAAUAGUGUAAAGAUAGUUGAAAUCUUUUUUCCAAGUUCACUUGGGGAAAAAAGUAAAGAAUGACAAUUCUUACACAAGAUGAAAGUUCUACUUCCUGUAUAUAAAGAAGAAAUUUGUGGGGUGAGUGAGAAAUAAGGAGAAUAAUACAAAAGGAAAUUCUAGAUCUGAGUUGGUCCCCUGCUAGCCCAGUUAAACUUUGUCUAAUAAAUACUUUUUGUUGUUGUGUGUUGUGAUGUUCUUGCAGAAAUCCUUUACACAGGAAGUUGUGGUCUGGCAGAAUUAAAGUUGAUCGAAUUAUAGCUUGCUUCUUCAUGUCUCUCCACAGGUCACUACUUUCUGGAAAAAGCAGAGUCAAUAAAACUACACCUUUGUCAUUGAGUUAUGCCAGCUCUUGCAAGUAAUGCUGAAAAAAAAUAGUUCUUUGGUUAUUCUGUCUGCACUUUUAUCCGUGGUUAACAUCACUGUUUUUGUUUAAGUCUAUGUCCUAUUUUGUGUGCAUCUGUCACUUAGCAGGACAGGUGUGUUUAUAUAAAUAAGUUCCACAAUUCAUGUAGAAUAUGUGUAGGAAAGUGCAGAACUGCAGACUUCUGAAAGUUGGCUAGAUUUUAAGCUGACCCUGCCCUCUAAACAGAUGCUCAGAACAGUGAUGACUCUUUAUUGCUACAACACACCAUCUUGGGAUAACACAUCAGGUAGUCUGGAAAUAUGAAAUACUUUAUGUAGAGUUGCUACUUCAUGUAAGGCAGUGCUGAUGACAGUUACAUCUGCGAAGAACACAGCAUCAUUCCUCUCCCUCGCUACCUUCAUAGGUAAAUGUGGUACAUUUAGGAAGCCUUAAGUUAGUCCUCAGAAUUAUGGAUCUAUAGAAAUUAUGGAAAUGAUGCUAGAAAAAAAGCUGGCCUGAUCCCUAGCUGCUCAGACAAUCUCUUCAUAUUUUUCCCAGGGUACCUGUCCUUUAUUUCACCCUCAACAGGCUUCCUUUUGUGUUUGGCUUUGUCCAGGAGCAAGCUGUCCAUCCAUGCAGGUUGCCCUGUACUUUUGUCUGAUUUCCUUUUUGUUGGGACACAUGGCUCCUGACUUGGAGGACCUUCACCUUGAAGAUUAACCAGCUUUCUUGGGCCCCUCUUCCCUCCAGGAUUCUAUUCCCUAUUACUCUACCAAGCAGACCCCUGAAGAGGCCAAAGUCUCCUCUCCUGGAGUCCAGCCUAGUGAGCUUCGUGUGUGUCCUUCUCACUCAAACUCUACCAUUUCAUGGUCACUACUUCCCAGGCUGUGCUUGAGCUUCACAUUCCCUUCUUGUCAGCAAGAACGUGGUCCAGCAUAGCACCUCUGUCAUUGGUUUCUCUACCAUUUGGAGAAGGAGGUUACUAUCAGUGCAUCACAGGAACCUCCUAGCUGUUCCUUCAACCAGUAUUGGGGUGGUUGAAGUCCCCCAUAAAGACAGGGGCUUGUGAAUGCCCUGGUGUGUUUGAAGCACCUGGGCAAAUACCAAAAUUUUAUCACUACACAAAAUGAGAAAACACGUCCUAUUCCAGCAACAACUCAGGAGUAUGUUAGCCAUCAAAACUUAUUUUAAAAUAACACGUUCAGAUAACUUCAAUUCAGUGUUUAUACUAAAACUGAACAAGCAGCUAUCUGUAAUGCUGUCUGUUUUCAAAAAUUUGAAACUGGGAGAGACAAUACAGAAGAUUCCUUAAAAGUAUGAGCAGUAAAAAGGGUAAAGAGGAUAAUCCAGAUGAUUAUUGGGCAGCAUCCAUGUGGGCAAAAAAUUACAACUAAUAUAUAAAGCUUUUAAAUCAGUAGAGCUAAUGUUUGUCAAUAUGAGUAUAGGAGAAACAGCUCUGACUACAAUUUUACUAAGACACUAACCAAAUAGUGUUUACAUAACAAUACUGUAAUAUGUAAUCUUUUGAUUUUUUGAAAACAUUCUUUGUGCUGCAUGACACUUUUUAUAUAUCAUAUAUAUAAAAUAUUAUAUAUCUUAUCAUAAAAAAUAUUAUAUACAUGCUGAUUAGUAGAAACAUUGAGUAACUGGCAGCCAAAACCAGAGCACUAAAUGCAGGAUCCUAACUGAGCAAUUAUAUUCAUAUUUGGGUUAUUUUAAGAAUUAUUUUUUGGUAUAUGAUAUUUAAUGCUUGUUUUAAAUUACGUCAACAUUGUACAAAAUUAUUAAUUAUACUCACAGAUGACCUAAAGAUCGGAGAUAUAAUAAACAACAAAGAUAAGUCAUUAAUACAGACCAGAUGGCUUUAAUAAGUUGGGGGCAAUCAGACAAGUGUUUUGUGGAUAAUUAUUAAAGUAAAACAUUUGUGAACAGAGAAAGCAGCAUGUCCUUUUUACUCUUAUAUUUAUGACCUUUACAUUUAGUCCACCUGUCAAAUUCUAGCUCUUCAGAACAGACAAGACACUCAAAUAUGGAGGCCAGUUGAACAAGUUGCCUCUGAUUUGUUGUUCUGGGUUUCCUUGUAUAUUUUGGUUCUGAUCAUCUCCAGAGUGUUCUGUUAUAAUACGUGCUUAUGUAAUUUUAUUUUGGUAUCUCUGAGUAAUGCUAAAACAUCCCCAUGCUAUAAAUUGACUCCACUUUUGAAAUUUGAGCCAGUAUUUUUAAAUAUGCCUUAUACCUUAGAUUCAUCAUCACUUCUGUUACCUUCUGUUACACUUUCUCUGUCUAGUAUGACCUUUUCACAUGUACAACUGUAACAAAAAAGGGAAUAAAACCGUGUCUGCAUACAAUUCCCUUAGUCUAAUCAUCAGUCAUGUUAUUGCAAAGCUAAUGCUGCUGUUGCUUUUCUCAUCUCCAGAAACUUGUGUUUUGCUGGACCUAAGAAGAACUGAAAAUGCUGGUUUUCUUCCUUUUUUUUUUUUUUUCUGUUCACAAGUUAUUAUUUGGGGAUUUGGAGGAGGAAUGAAGAGAUGCAGAGAGAUUUGUCAAGAGAGGUAACAAUGAAUGGACUACUAAAUAAGGUGCUUUGGUCAAAAUGCCUUGUGUAAAUCUUAGCUAUGCUAAAAAAAAACCCUGGGGAUUGCAUGAACAGUACUAGUUAUAUGUCUGCACUGAAAAUUUCUUUUUAAUUUACUUUUGGUAGUUUAGGAUUCAAGAAUACUCAGUGUAAAGGAAAUGUUGAGAGAAAAGCCAGAAAAGUCAUUGAUUCAUGUGGCAUGAUACAAGGAAGUUUUUCCUCUUUAUCAAACAAAACCAUGUAUAGACUGCAGUCCAAAAGUAUCUGCAAUGAAAUAGAAACUUGAUACCUGGCUUCUCCAUCUAGUUGACAGAUAUAAAAGGAUCUGAUUGCUGAAUGUUGGAAGCUGAACAAAAUCAGACUGGUACAAUUUUGCCUAAAUAUAGAUCAGUUAAUUAUUGAAAUGGUUUAAAGUAAAUUAUGAUGGGCUUUCCAUCUGUAGUUUUAACCUCAAGAGAUAUCUGUCUUAAAAUGGGUAUUGUAGCUCAACUCAGCAAUAGUUCAGGACAGCACAGAAACUUCUGUGACAAAACAGAUCAGUGCAGUGGAUGGUCAAAGUGGAUGUUCUAGCCUUAUCUUUGAUGGGCAGCAAAGUUGUUUUGGUUCUUCCUUCAGCUCUCCUAUGGAUUUAUUUCAUUAUCCAAUUUUUUUUUUGCCUGUGGAGGCUACCAUUUUUACUGGAACUUCAGGGCAGCUGCAGCUGUUUAAGAAAGGACAUAAUCAGUUGUAAAUGGUGUAGUGUGAUAAGGGAUCCAGACUGCCUAAGAAUCUACUCAAAAGAUGUAAGAGUCCAUGGAAGAGACCCAGCCACACAUGGAAUUUUAGCACUCCUUUGUCCUGCUUAUUCCAGUUUCUCAGCAAUAGUCUUCUGCAUUAAUAGUUUAUCUGGUGAUUCUGCAUCACUAUAUGUCUGUUGCCAUAUACAUCAUUCUGGAUUAUCAGUUUAAGAUUCUUUGGUAAGUCUUAUAUGCCUGUGUGAUGCAACAAGGGUAUGUCCAUAUUGACAUGUUUUUUUAGCUUAUCCAAUACUUUCAACUUGUGUUUUGUCUUUUGUUUGUAAAGUGGUAUUUCUUCCUUUGAAUAAAAAGUACAGAACUAA